rnacentral:sRNA from 1 species
AUAUCGCACAUGUCGUGUAGGUGAGAAUCUGCGCUCAGGUUGGAGCCGAGCGGAGCGAGACAGCAACGCGUUAGCGUUGACCCCGAAGGGGCGAGGCCGAAGGCCGAGUCAUCCUGCACGACCCACCA